CUCGUAGGCGGUUAUAUACGGCGGUGGUGAAAUCCUCCGGCUCAGCUGGAGGUGGUCCGUCGCAACGGUAUAACUCGAGGGUGGUAGAGGCGGAUGGAAUUCCUGGUGUAGCGGUGAAAUGCGUAGAGAUCAGGAGGAACACCCGUGGCGAAGGCGGUCCGCUGGGCCAUGCCUGACGCUGAGGAGCGAAGGCCAGGGUAGUGAACGGGAUUAGAUACCCCGGUAAUCCUGGCGGUAAACGAUGGAGACUAGGUGUCAGCGGUAUCGACCCCGCUGGUGCCGUAGCUAACGCGUGAAGUCUCCCGCCUGGGGAGUACGGCCGCAAGGUUGAA
rnacentral:rRNA from 1 species